rnacentral:rRNA from 1 species
AGCAGCCGCGGUAAUUCCAGCUCCAAUAGCGUAUAUUAAAGUUGUUGCAGUUAAAAAGCUCGUAGUUGAAUUUCGGGAUCAAAUUGUCGGUCGUGCCUCGGUACGCACUGGUAUUAUUGGUUCCUACCUUCUGAAGAACCGCGAUGUCAUUAAUUUGGUGUCGUGGGGAAUCAGGACUGUUACUUUGAAAAAAUUAGAGUGUUUAAAGCAGGCUUACGCUUGAAUACAUUAGCAUGGAAUAAUGAAAUAGGACGUUUGAUUCUAUUUUGUUGGUUUCUAGGAUUGACGUAAUGAUUAAUAGGGAUAGUUGGGGGCAUUAGUAUUCAAUUGUCAGAGGUGAAAUUCUUGGAUUUAUUGAAGACUAACUACUGCGAAAGCAUUUGCCAAGGAUGUUUUCAUUAAUCAAGAACGAAAGUUAGGGGAUCGAAGACGAUCAGAUACCGUCGUAGUCUUAACCAUAAACUAUGCCGACUAGGGAUCGGAUGAUGUUAAUUUUUAAUGACUCAUUCGGCGCCUUACG